GAGGAGGAUGUGAUUAGUGUUUUCUGCCAUGGGAUGUCAGCUGAGGGAUGAGAACCGUGUGCCAAGAGGAGGAAAGAGCUGUCACAGAUGGAUGGUACGUCGAUGGCUUCUGUCAUGUGGCUGCUGGGUCAAGAUCUGUGGCUUUCUCAACACAGUUGGUUCCAGGUCUUGCGAGUUGCCAUGGCCACUUUGCCAAAAUCAGGAUAUUCUUCUCUGCAGCCCACCUGACAUCCCACAGGGGCAAAGAAACAAAUGCAUGGAUCCAGGGAUGGGGCGAGAGCUGGCUCCGCAAGGGAGAAUCCAGCUCCAAAUGCUCCAAGGAAGCAAACAGACCCUUUAGAGACAUCUACUGCUGAAGAAGGCGGGGAGGGAUUCAGUGUGAAGCCACAAAACCCAAUUCUGAGGAAGAAAUGCAGCUUGCCUCCUGUCCCUUGUCCCUGCAAACUGAAGAGGAGAGGCUGUCCAUCACUGCCUGUCAUUUUUGG